GCACUGCUGAGGAGUCCCACAACGGGACGAAACGAUCAUCCAGUGC
rfam:Schistosoma haematobium scaffold651_14, whole genome shotgun sequence.